rnacentral:rRNA from 1 species
GAUGAACGCUGGCGGCGUGCCUAAUACAUGCAAGUCGAGCGAACGGACGAGAAGCUUGCUUCUCUGGUGUUAGCGGCGGACGGGUGAGUAACACGUGGAUAACCUACCUAUAAGACUGGGAUAGCUUCGGGAAACCGGAUCUAAUACCGGAUAAUAUUUUGAACCGCAGGGUUCAAAAGUGAAAGACGGUCUUGCUGUCACUUAUAGAUGUAUCCGCGCUGCAUUAGCUAGUUGGUAAGGUAACGGCUUACCAAGGCAACGAUGCAUAGCCGACCUGAGAGGGUGAUCGGCCACACUGGAACUGAGACACGGUCCAGACUCCUACGGGAGGCAGCAGUAGGGAAUCUUGCGCAAUGGGCGAAAGCCUGACGGAGCAAUCCCGCGUGAGCGAUGAAGGUCUUCGGAUUGUAAAACUCUGUUAGUAGGGAAGAAAAUAUGUGUAAGUAACCGCGGAGAAACUGACGGUACCUACUCAGAAAGCAACGGCUAACUACGUG